UCUCCGUAGAUGAACCUGCGGAGGGAUCAUUACUGAGUGAGGGCUCCGGCCCGACCUCCAACCCUUUUGUGAACCACCUCGUUGCUUCGGGGGCGACCCUGCCGACGACUCCGUCGCCGGGCGCCCCCGGAGGUCUUCUAAACACUGCAUCUUUGCGUCGGAGUUUAAACAAAUUAAACAAAACUUUCAACAACGGAUCUCUUGGUUCUGGCAUCGAUGAAGAACGCAGC
rnacentral:misc_RNA from 1 species